UGGGGAAUAUUGGACAAUGGGGGCAACCCUGAUCCAGCCAUGCCGCGUGUGUGAAGAAGGCCUUUUGGUUGUAAAGCACUUUAAGCAGUGAAGAAGACUCCAUGGUUAAUACCCAUGGACGAUGACAUUAGCUGCAGAAUAAGCACCGGCUAACUCUGUGCCAGCAGCCGCGGUAAUACAGAGGGUGCAAGCGUUAAUCGGAAUUACUGGGCGUAAAGCGAGCGUAGGUGGAUUGAUAAGUUAGAUGUGAAAGCCCCGGGCUUAACCUGGGAACGGCAUCUGAUACUGUUAGGCUAGAGUAGGUGAGAGGAAGGUAGAAUUCCAGGUGUAGCGGUGAAAUGCGUAGAGAUCUGGAGGAAUACCGAUGGCGAAGGCAGCCUUCUGGCAUCAUACUGACACUGAGGUUCGAAAGCGUGGGUAGCAAACA
rnacentral:rRNA from 1 species